rnacentral:rRNA from 1 species
UACGGGGGGAGCAAGCGUUGUUCGGAUUCAUUGGGCGUAAAGGGUGCGUAGGCGGUCGCGUAAGUCGGAUGUGAAAUCUCAGGGCUCAACCCUGAAACUGCAUUCGAUACUGCGUGGCUAGGGUACUGGAGAGGAGACUGGAAUUUACGGUGUAGCAGUGAAAUGCGUAGAUAUCGUAAGGAAGACCAGUGGCGAAGGCGAGUCUCUGGACAGUUACCGACGCUGAGGCACGAAGGCCAGGGGAGCAAACGGG